CCUACGGGUGGCAGCAGUGAGGGAUAUUGGUCAAUGGACGAGAGUCUGAACCAGCCAAGUAGCGUGAAGGAUGACUGCCCUAUGGUUUGUAAACUUCUUUUAUAUGGGAAUAAAAUGUUCCACGUGUGGGAUUUUGUAUGUACCAUAUGAAUAAGGAUCGGCUAACUCCGUGCCAGCAGCCGCGGUAAUACGGAGGAUCCGAGCGUUAUCCGGAUUUAUUGGGUGUAAAGGGAGCGUAGGUGGAUUGUUAAGUCAGUUGUGAAAGUUUGCGGCUCAACCGUAAAAUUGCAGUUGAAACUGGCAGUCUUGAGUACAGUAGAGGUGGGCGGAAUUCGUGGUGUAGCGGUGAAAUGCUUAGAUAUCACGAAGAACUCCGAUUGCGAAGGCAGUUCACUGGACUGCAACUGACACUGAGGCUCGAAAGCGUGGGUAUCAAACAGGAUUAGAUACCCUGGUAGUC
rnacentral:rRNA from 1 species